UGGCACAGCUCUGCUUUGUGAGCACCU
rnacentral:piRNA from 1 species